AAAAGCUCAAAAUAUUUAUAUUUCAAAAGCAAAGUAAUAUCCAGUACAUAGCAUAGUCUGAUGAUCUUAAUUUGCACACUAAAACUGACAAUAUAAUUUAUUAUUUGAUCAAGUGAACUACAUCGUGAUAGCAAUGAAAUGAUGUAGUUCGACAAAAGCUUGGUUUCCCCAAAAGCUUGCAUUCCUAAAUUUAAUUGGAGACUUCAUUUUGUUCUGCAAAACAAAAGUUCCUAUCAAAACUGGUCGCUACUUAUAUCUUUUGUGUUACCAUCAGAUAAAAAGUUAGGCAUGAACUUACAUUUGUUUCUGGAUCCUCCCCAAUUGGCCAUGUUCUUCACUCCAAAGUUCUUCACCAGGAUAAUAACUCAAUUCUUCCAAACAUUCCUACUCAAGGCAUAGUAAAGGAAACUAAGCAUUUCACGUCUACACUAGAACUUGGAAAUUCGUUAAGUGAUCCUUUCAGGGAUUUUACCUCUUUGUCUUUUUCCUUUUUUCUCUUCCUUUUGGCACUACCAGAUAAAUGCUUUCUAGAGGACAUCUCAGUAAACAAGAACAAGCAGCAUAAAUGAUUAAAACAAGGAAUAAAAGCACCUGAAUGUGGUUGUAGGUGGCCAAAUCAGUAGAUCCGGAGGUUGCAGUCAGCACGAACAAGAACACAACACCAGGAACUGAAUUGUUUUCCCCCCUUCUCCACUUCAGCAGUUCUCCUGGCUCCCGAGCACUGAAACUUAGAUCCACGGAAGUCUGAAGAGCAGAAGAUAAGAAGAGAUGUCAAGUAUGGAGUCGUCGCCUCAUCGAAGGGCACGCCUAUAUAAUUGACAGGGGGAACGGGGUCAUGGGGAGGAGGAAAAGAAGAACACGUACUGUCUCCUCUCCAACGUCUAGCUGAUGGGGAACGAGCAGAACCUUGAAGAAGGAAGGAGAGACGAUUGGGGAGCCGAUUUGCGCCUUUAAUCUCCAUUAAUGGCCGGCGGUGAUCUUGGAAUC
rnacentral:lncRNA from 1 species